CCUAGGGGGGCUGCAGUGAGGAAUAUUGGUCAAUGGGCGUAAGCCUGAACCAGCCAUCCCGCGUGCAGGAAGAAGGCGCUAUGCGUCGUAAACUGCUUUUCCAGGGGAAGAAAACCCGCUACGUGUAGUGGCUUGCCGGUACCCUGGGAAUAAGCAUCGGCUAACUCCGUGCCAGCAGCCGCGGUAAUACGGAGGAUGCGAGCGUUAUCCGGAUUUAUUGGGUGUAAAGGGUGCGUAGGCGGACAGAUGAGAAAACCUUCAGCUUAACUGGAGACUUGCCAUUGAUACUGUUAGUCUUGAGUACGGUCAAGGUAGGCGGAAUGUGUAAUGUAGCGGUGAAAUGCUUAGAUAUUACACAGAACACCGAUUGCGAAGGCAGCUUACUGGGCCAUUACUGACGCUGAUGCACGAAAGCGUGGGGAGCGAACAGGAUUAGAUACCCCGGUAGUC
rnacentral:rRNA from 1 species